CGUUGGAAAGACCAUAAUAUUGAAGAACAUUGUCAAAGUUCUAGAAGACAUGAAAGGCUUGCCUCACACUAUGGAGUUGAGAAUUGCUUUGAAUACCUAAUCCUGCUUCUGCUGCCCAUUGCUGAAAAGAAAGUACUGCUACUGCUUCAAAGCUGGACCUUAACUGGUCAGUGAGAAGGAAAAAUAGACCAGUAAGAAAAGCAUUGUUUUGGAAAUAAUUCUCAUGCUCUCCUUGCCUCCUGCAGGUAAAAAAUCUUUUUCAUUUCUUCCAUCUUGGCUGUUGUGAUGGCUAUUCUUGGUAAUCAAACUGACUACAUCUGGACUUAACUAAAACCCAAAGAGUUAGAUACACCUGUGAAUGAUCUUUCUUAAAGGUUUUGAAGUUAAAGACCCAUCUUUAAUCUGGAUCAUUUUAGGUGAUAUGAUCCAACUUUAGCUGC